GCCGAGAGGCCGCCUGGAAGGUCCUGUUAGGGAAGGGCCGGGACGGAACCGGGGGUGUCUACGCCAUCUGCCUCUGGAGGGGGUGAGCACGCAAAUCUCCGGGUGCCUUGGGGGUUCAGACACCGGCCUCCCCCUCUCCCCGGAGCGCUUCUUCCGUGGGAUUUCUGUCCAGCGGCUGCAGAGUGAGUGACACUCCUAUGCUAGCCACACAGCCCCCGGGCUUCCUCCCUGCCGCAGCUCCGUUAAACUUGAGCGAUCGCCUGGGAAGACCCCUCGCUCGCUGUUGGCAGCUGCCUCCAUCAGUCUCCACGUGCUUGUCACGAAGCCGUAGGAACAGGGCCCCUUGAUUGUAACCCCGGCGUCUGCGGUGGGGAGCGGCCGACAGGCAGAGGGAGCCGUGGCGCCCAGAACUUCCUGACAAGCGGGCGCGCGGUCAGCCGGGUACUCGCCUUGUACUCACACUUGAGAUGUGCGACCGAUUCGGCCACGAGGCAAGUGCCUCACAGACGGAUGAACGGCCCCCGUUUCCCGCCGACGCUUUGCACACACCCCCGCGUCCCCCACCUCCUCCCCCGGCUCCGGAAACCGCGAGGCCCUGCAGGUGACGUGACACGUGUCAUCAUCUGGGAGCUGUAAAGAGAUUCCGGACCAGCUGGCUCUUGCCGCCUUCACGCUGCGCGGUGCUCGGAUGUUUCCGUGUAAACACGCCGGAUCGACACUCACCUGGGAUUAUCCUGCAGACGCGGUCCAUAAAUCCAAGGGGAUUCCGUUCUCUCCACCAGUAUUCCCGAGGGAGUGAAGCGUGUUGCAAAAGUAGCAGUCAGCUGCCCCCAGGGCCUUUGCACAGCUGUCCCCUGGGCGCAGAACGCUCCUCCUCAGAUGCCCCUACGACGCCCUGCCCUGAUUCCUCAGGCGGCCACGCAAACAUCCCUUCCUGAAACCCCCCCCCCCCCCCGCCUAUGGUCACUUGCUCUCUCCCCCCCACCCCCGCAGGCUGCUCUGUUUUCCCUCCAACCCCCUCGCUCUCCAGCACGACGUUAUUGCUUAUCCCCUCUCUCCCGUGUAGGAAUUUCGUAAAGCCCUGUGCCCUCCAACUGAGAGCAUCGGAGCUGGUGCCAGGACGAGGGGACGCGCUCAAUAAAUAUUUA